CUUAAAGGAAUUGACGGACCCGCACGAAGCGGUGGAUCAUGUUGUUUAAUUCGACGAUACGCGAAGAACCUUACCAGGUCUUGACAUCCCCUGCAAAGCUAUGGAGACAUAGUGGAGGUUAUCAGGGAGACAGGUGGUGCAUGGUUGUCGUCAGCUCGUGUCGUGAGAUGUUGGGUUAAGUCCCGCAACGAGCGCAACCCUUAUUGCUAGUUACCAUCAUUAAGUUGGGGACUCUAGCGAGACUGCCAGUGAUAAACUGGAGGAAGGUGGGGAUGACGUCAAAUCAUCAUGCCCCUUAUGACCUGGGCUACAAACGUGAUACAAUGGCUGAAACAAAGGGCAGCGAAGGAGCGAUCUGGAGCGAAACCCAAAAAGCAGUCUCAGUUCGGAUUGAAGUCUGCAACUCGACUUCAUGAAGUCGGAAUCGCUAGUAAUCGCGGAUCAGAACGCCGCGGUGAAUACGUUCCCGGGCCUU
rnacentral:rRNA from 1 species